rnacentral:rRNA from 1 species
GUGCCAGCAGCCGCGGUAAUACCGGCAGCCCGAGUGAUGGCCGAUAUUAUUGGGCCUAAAGCGUCCGUAGCUGGCCGACCAAGUCUCCCGGGAAAUCCACCCGCCCAACGGGUGGGCGUCCGGUAGAAACUGACCGGCUUGGAACCGGAAGGCUCAGAGAGUACGUCCAGGGUAGGAGUGAAAUCCCGUAAUCCCGGACGGACCACCGAUGGCGAACUCACUUCGAGAAAACGGAUCCGACAGUGAGGGACGAACGCCAGGGUCUCCAACCGGAUUAGAAACCCUGUAGUCC